rnacentral:tRNA from 1 species
AAUGGCAGAUAAAUGCAAAGGUUUUAAGCACCUUAUAUGACUUAGGUCUU